rnacentral:tRNA from 1 species
GAAUUUGUGGCUCAAUGGUUAGAGCGUUGGACUUCUAAUCAACAGGUCGCGUGUUCA